rnacentral:rRNA from 1 species
AGGUGCGAUCAUACCAGCACUAAUGCACCGGAUCCCAUCAGAACUCCGCAGUUAAGCGUGCUUGGGCGAGAGUAGUACUAGGAUGGGUGACCUCCGGGGAAGUCCUUGUGUUGCACCUCU